UAAUUAAGCGGAGGAAAAGAAACUAACCAGGAUUGCCUCAGUAAGGGCGACUGAAGUGGCAAUAGCUCACCAUGUGAAUCUGCGUAAGCCGAAUUGUGGUUUCGCUUGUGUUAGGGGCUGGGCCAAGUCCGUUGGAACACGGCAGCUGAGAGGGUGAGACUCCCGUUUGCCCGGCCCUUGGAACAAGUGUGUUCGAGUCGAGUUGUUUGGGAUUGCAGCUCUAAGUGGGUGGUAAAUUCCAUCGAAAGCUAAAUACUGGUGGGAGACCGAUAGCAAACAAGUACCGUGAGGGAAAGAUGCAAAGAAGCGCGAAAGCGCUGUUAAAGAGUACCUGAACUUGCUGAAACGGAAGCGAAGGAAACCAGUGCCAGCUGCGUCAUACUUCCCCACCUGCUUGCGGGUGGGGCGCUGUGGCCAGCGUUGUCAUUUAUGGUGGGGGGUUGCGGAAGAGCGUGGGGAGAGUUGAUCCCCAUUGCGUGCGCGACGCCUGACUGUGAUUGACGAAAUGGUUUUCUUUUUCCCG
rnacentral:rRNA from 1 species